GAUGAACACUGGCGGCGUGCCUAAUACAUGCAAGUCGAGCGAACGGACGAGAAGCUUGCUUCUCUGAUGUUAGCGGCGGACGGGUGAGUAACACGUGGAUAACCUACCUAUAAGACUGGGAUAACUUCGGGAAACCGGAGCUAAUACCGGAUGAUAUUUUGAACCGCAUGGUUCAAAAGUGAAAGACGGUCUUGCUGUCACUUAUAGAUGGAUCCGCGCUGCAUUAGCUAGUUGGUAAGGUAACGGCUUACCAAGGCAACGAUGCAUAGCCGACCUGAGAGGGGGAUCCGGCACAACGGAACCUGGACAAGGGCCAGACUCCUACGGGAGGCAGCAGUAGGGAAUCUUCCGCAAUGGGCGAAAGCCUGACGGAGCAACGCCGCGUGAGUGAUGAAGGUCUUCGGAUCGUAAAACUCUGUUAUUAGGGAAGAACAUAUGUGUAAGUAACUGUGCACAUCUUGACGGUACCUAAUCAGAAAGCCACGGCUAACUACGUG
rnacentral:rRNA from 1 species